CUAAGCGUACACGGUGGAUGCCCUGGCAGUCAGAGGCGAUGAAGGGCGUGCUAAUCUGCGAUAAGCGCCGGUAAGGUGAUAUGAACCGUUAUAACCGGCGAUACCCGAAUGGGGAAACCCAGUGUGAUUCGUCACACUAUCAUUAACUGAAUCCAUAGGUUAAUGAGGCGAACCGGGGGAACUGAAACAUCUAAGUACCCCGAGGAAAAGAAAUCAACCGAGAUUCCCCCAGUAGCGGCGAGCGAACGGGGAGGAGCCCAGAGCCUGAAUCAGCAUGUGUGUUAGUGGAAGCGUCUGGAAAGGCGCGCGAUACAGGGUGACAGCCCCGUACACAAAAGCGCAUGUGCUGUGAGCUCGAUGAGUAGGGCGGGACACGUGGUAUCCUGUCUGAAUAUGGGGGGACCAUCCUCCAAGGCUAAAUACUCCUGACUGACCGAUAGUGAACCAGUACCGUGAGGGAAAGGCGAAAAGAACCCCGGCGAGGGGAGUGAAAAAGAACCUGAAACCGUGUACGUACAAGCAGUGGGAGCACCCUUCGGGGUGUGACUGCGUACCUUUUGUAUAAUGGGUCAGCGACUUAUAUUCUGUAGCAAGGUUAACCGUAUAGGGGAGCCGGAGGGAAACCGAGUCUUAACCGGGCGUUAAGUUGCAGGGUAUAGACCCGAAACCCGGUGAUCUAGCCAUGGGCAGGUUGAAGGUUGGGUAACACUAACUGGAGGACCGAACCGACUAAUGUUGAAAAAUUAGCGGAUGACCUGUGGCUGGGGGUGAAAGGCCAAUCAAACCGGGAGAUAGCUGGUUCUCCCCGAAAGCUAUUUAGGUAGCGCCUCGUGAAUUCAUCUCCGGGGGUAGAGCACUGUUUCGGCUAGGGGGCCAUCCCGGCUUACCAACCCGAUGCAAACUGCGAAUACCGGAGAAUGUUAUCACGGGAGACACACGGCGGGUGCUAACGUCCGUCGUGAAGAGGGAAACAACCCAGACCGCCAGCUAAGGUCCCAAAGUCAUGGUUAAGUGGGAAACGAUGUGGGAAGGCCCAGACAGCCAGGAUGUUGGCUUAGAAGCAGCCAUCAUUUAAAGAAAGCGUAAUAGCUCACUGGUCGAGUCGGCCUGCGCGGAAGAUGUAACGGGGCUAAACCAUGCACCGAAGCUGCGGCAGCGAACGUAUCACCCAAGACAACUUUACGGAGUUGACGAUUGACGGAGCGAAGCGACGUCAAAGCGUUCAUUAAAGUCGAGUUGGCUUAGGGAUACGUUCGUUGGGUAGGGGAGCGUUCUGUAAGCCUGUGAAGGUGUGUCGUGAGGCAUGCUGGAGGUAUCAGAAGUGCGAAUGCUGACAUAAGUAACGAUAAAGCGGGUGAAAAGCCCGCUCGCCGGAAGACCAAGGGUUCCUGUCCAACGUUAAUCGGGGCAGGGUGAGUCGACCCCUAAGGCGAGGCCGAAAGGCGUAGUCGAUGGGAAACGGGUUAAUAUUCCCGUACUUGGUGUUACUGCGAAGGGGGGACGGAGAAGGCUAUGUUGGCCGGGCGACGGUUGUCCCGGUUUAAGCGUGUAGGUGUGUGUUCCAGGUAAAUCCGGUUCACUUUAACACUGAGGCGUGACGACGAGGCACUACGGUGCUGAAGCAACAAAUGCCCUGCUUCCAGGAAAAGCCUCUAAGCAUCAGGUAACAUCAAAUCGUACCCCAAACCGACACAGGUGGUCAGGUAGAGAAUACCAAGGCGCUUGAGAGAACUCGGGUGAAGGAACUAGGCAAAAUGGUGCCGUAACUUCGGGAGAAGGCACGCUGACACGUAGGUGAAGUGAUUUACUCAUGGAGCUGAAGUCAGUCGAAGAUACCAGCUGGCUGCAACUGUUUAUUAAAAACACAGCACUGUGCAAACACGAAAGUGGACGUAUACGGUGUGACGCCUGCCCGGUGCCGGAAGGUUAAUUGAUGGGGUCAGCGCAAGCGAAGCUCCUGAUCGAAGCCCCGGUAAACGGCGGCCGUAACUAUAACGGUCCUAAGGUAGCGAAAUUCCUUGUCGGGUAAGUUCCGACCUGCACGAAUGGCGUAAUGAUGGCCAGGCUGUCUCCACCCGAGACUCAGUGAAAUUGAACUCGCUGUGAAGAUGCAGUGUACCCGCGGCAAGACGGAAAGACCCCGUGAACCUUUACUAUAGCUUGACACUGAACAUUGAGCCUUGAUGUGUAGGAUAGGUGGGAGGCUUUGAAGUGUGGACGCCAGUCUGCAUGGAGCCGACCUUGAAAUACCACCCUUUAAUGUUUGAUGUUCUAACGUGGACCCGUAAUCCGGGUUGCGGACAGUGUCUGGUGGGUAGUUUGACUGGGGCGGUCUCCUCCUAAAGAGUAACGGAGGAGCACGAAGGUUGGCUAAUCCUGGUCGGACAUCAGGAGGUUAGUGCAAUGGCAUAAGCCAGCUUGACUGCGAGCGUGACGGCGCGAGCAGGUGCGAAAGCAGGUCAUAGUGAUCCGGUGGUUCUGAAUGGAAGGGCCAUCGCUCAACGGAUAAAAGGUACUCCGGGGAUAACAGGCUGAUACCGCCCAAGAGUUCAUAUCGACGGCGGUGUUUGGCACCUCGAUGUCGGCUCAUCACAUCCUGGGGCUGAAGUAGGUCCCAAGGGUAUGGCUGUUCGCCAUUUAAAGUGGUACGCGAGCUGGGUUUAGAACGUCGUGAGACAGUUCGGUCCCUAUCUGCCGUGGGCGCUGGAGAACUGAGGGGGGCUGCUCCUAGUACGAGAGGACCGGAGUGGACGCAUCACUGGUGUUCGGGUUGUCAUGCCAAUGGCACUGCCCGGUAGCUAAAUGCGGAAGAGAUAAGUGCUGAAAGCAUCUAAGCACGAAACUUGCCCCGA
rnacentral:rRNA from 1 species